ACUCCUGCGGGAGGCAGCCGUGGGGAAUAUUGCACAAUGGGCGCAAGCCUGAUGCAGCCAUGCCGCGUGUAUGAAGAAGGCCUUCGGGUUGUAAAGUACUUUCAGCGGGGAGGAAGGCGAUAAGGUUAAUAACCUUGUCGAUUGACGUUACCCGCAGAAGAAGCACCGGCUAACUCCGUGCCAGCAGCCGCGGUAAUACGGAGGGUGCAAGCGUUAAUCGGAAUUACUGGGCGUAAAGCGCACGCAGGCGGUCUGUCAAGUCGGAUGUGAAAUCCCCGGGCUCAACCUGGGAACUGCAUUCGAAACUGGCAGGCUAGAGUCUUGUAGAGGGGGGUAGAAUUCCAGGUGUAGCGGUGAAAUGCGUAGAGAUCUGGAGGAAUACCGGUGGCGAAGGCGGCCCCCUGGACAAAGACUGACGCUCAGGUGCGAAAGCGUGGGGAGCAAACAGGAUUAGAAACCCCAGUAGUCCCAUGA
rnacentral:rRNA from 1 species